rnacentral:rRNA from 1 species
AUACGUAGGUGGCGAGCGUUGUCCGGAAUUACUGGGCGUAAAGGGCGCGCAGGCGGGUCCUUAAGUCAGGUGUGAAAUGUGCAGGCUUAACCUGUAAUAUGCACUUGAAACUGGGGGUCUUGAGUGCAGGAGAGGGCAGUGGAAUUCCUAGUGUAGCGGUGAAAUGCGUAGAUAUUAGGAGGAACACCAGUGGCGAAGGCGGCUGCCUGGACUGCAACUGACGCUGAGGCGCGAAAGCGUGGGGAGCAAACAGGAUUAGAUACCCUGGUAGUCCACGCCGUAAACGAUGGGUACUAGGUGUAGGGGGUAUCGACCCCUCCUGUGCCGGAGUUAACACAAUAAGUACCCCGCCUGGGGAGUACGGCCGCAAGGUUGAA